CAUACAUCCCUGUUAGAGACACCAUAAACCAUGUCAGGUAAAACAGCGUAUAUAUUGAAAACAUGAAAGAACGAAAACUAGUCACUUUAUCAGCUAAUCACAGAGGGCAACUCUAACAAUGCGGCAGUUCAAUGUCUGCUGCAAUCAACAACUACCAUAUGUUGUGGGAGUUGGGUGUCUUCUC